rnacentral:siRNA from 1 species
CCAAACUGGGUCGCCGUUGCU